rnacentral:rRNA from 1 species
UACGUAGGGUGCGAGCGUUAAUCGGAAUUACUGGGCGUAAAGCGUGCGCAGGCGGUUCGUUGCGUCGGCGGUGAAAUCCCCGGGCUCAACCUGGGAAUGGCCGUUGAAACUGGCGAACUGGAGUGUGGCAGAGGGGGGUGGAAUUCCGCGUGUAGCAGUGAAAUGCGUAGAGAUGCGGAGGAACACCGAUGGCGAAGGCAGCCCCCUGGGCUGACACUGACGCUCAAGCACGAAAGCGUGGGGAGCAAACAGG